AGGUCCUGGACCGCUGCUCCUGGUGCCAGAGAACAUUCGCAUCUGACGCUACAACCUACAGAGCACCAUGACUUUUUGCAAUAAGAGGUUCGCAUUUUAGCACUGGACUACAACUGGGACCACAACAACACUGGACUCAUAGAAGGAAAUGGUGAAUUGCCUGGUGCUAUUAAAAAAGCUUAUCUGCCAGCUGUGGAUGAUGAUAAUAAUAACAAUGCUGCUGCUGUUGACCUGGACAUCAAGUAGCUACAUCACCAAGCCAUGUGGGAUUCCAGUGGACUGGGUUGGCAGGAAUUUGUACUGGGUUGACACAAAGCUCAAACGUCUGUAGGUGGCCAUGUUGGAAGGGCGACACGUGAAGCCUCUGAUUAAGACUGACCUGCAAGAACCCAAUUCUGUUGCUGUAAACCCUCGUUUGAGCAUGGUCUACUGGAUAGACAAUGGCAAUACGCCUCGAAGGCCCCUGGUUGGAUGGUCAAGAGAGAAGGGUUCUGGUGGACUGUGCUUUGGGUACAUUCUGCCACCUUUCUUCUGUCAGAUGGAAGAAACCCUUUCAGUGUGAAUGCAUUUGAGGGCCAUGUGUCCUGUAGCACGCAGGAGAAGGCUGAAGUGUUUAAACAGGACAAGUUUGGCAGAGGCAUCAAAACCAGAUUCCUAAUAGCAGGACCUUGGCUUACCCAGAUUAAUGUCUACCAGCAGCAGAAAUACAACUCUGUAGCUUUGAAGAACCCUUGUAAGAGCAAUUGUGUCUGCUGAGACCGGGAGGCUACACCUGUGCCUGCCCAGGGGUCAACGACUUCAUUCCUAGCAGCAGUACCGAAUGUGACGCAGGUGCCU